CCCCUCUCAGGAUCACACCUGGAGAGUUUCCAGUAUUCUACCAGUUUUGGCUAUUGGAAGAAGAGUCAAGCAGAGGCAUACCCAUUCCGUUUCUAGCUUGGGCAAUAGCUAGCAAGUGGAAGCCAAUCUUCUACAAAU